GACGUAGGGCGAGCGUUGCCGGAAUUACUGGCGUAAGGGCGUAGGCGGUCAAUAAGUCAGAUGUGAAUACUACUGCUCAACGGUAGAAUGCGUUUGAAGCUGUAAGACUUGAGGUACCAAGGUAGACGGAAUUACCUGAGUAGGGUGAAUCCGUAGAUACAGGUAAGAACGCCAGUGGGGAAGCCGGUCUACUGGGGUAACCCUGACGCUGAGGCCCGAAAGCUAGGGGAGCGAACCGG
rnacentral:rRNA from 1 species